UUUCCAUUUGUUUAAAGAAAAGAGAAAAUGUGAGCGAAUUGUUACGUUCGGGUUACAUCGCCGAAGGUUCUGAUUCGUUUGCCGCCGGUGCUCAAAGUCCACAAACCCCCUGCCGGGUGCUUAUAUGGAGGAUGCAAUCGGUAACUCCUCCUCUCCCCUAGUGGGCCCCUGUCUUCCACGCCCUGCCCCCCACCCACCCAUUAUGCUCACGUCAUUUAAGGCAAAUCCUUACACCAGCUUCGACCGAGUUCCUGUGCAUUGGAUUACUUUGGAUUCCAUUUUCGUGUUCGGCUCACACCAUCAGGCUACUAUUCACGUCAUAUUUUAGCAUCUUCACCUCCUAUGUUACGAUAAACAUCUGAUUAAUUAAAUGAAUAAAUAGGCGGUUAAACCUUAAGCCGAAUGCAGGGUGAAGAAUUAAGAAUGAUGGCACCUUUAGAACUUCCUUCCACAUUUGGAUAUAGGCCACCACGGUCGCGGCUGCAUUUUCCGGUACGAUAUUUUGUCCUUCCCUGAAGCCCAGAUUUUUCGUGAAACUAGUGGGUGCUCAACGUCUUUCAUCGUUUUAACACUAACAAUGCGACCUUCAGCAUUCACCCUUAGAAAAGCUAGAGGACAAUGCGAAGGAAAUUCCUUUCACGAAGGCUCACCUCUGUAUACCUACCACCGGCGUCGCCUUACCCUCUGCCCUGACACAGUGUAGCUUCGAUCCUAUGAUCCCGCCUCCCUCCACGCACCGGUCUUUCGAGUUUCAUUAACUGAGAGGGUCAGUAGUACAUCAGCAAUAAACAAAAGGAGUCUGUUCGUCCUUGAAACUUGUACGGUGCUUAUCCUCUCACCUUUAAACCCAUUCCUGUGAAAAGCAGCACGAGUGAUAGUGACCAAAGUUGGAAAAAUUGCACUCGAUCCAAGUUGAAUACAUUGCACGUUUUAGAAAGGAUCCCAUAAUGCGUCCGUGUUUGCAGCAGCUUCAUAUUCAUAAACGCAUGCUGGUUUCAUGUUGAUAGCAGAGGAAAUUAGAUCUCUACGACAAUGUUCAUUAAGGUGUAACCCGAUCUAUGAUAAAAUCGUGGUAAAACAAGAUAAUAAAAUGUUUUCGUCAAGAUUUGUAAUCAACUGUUAAGGGAAAUUAUUGUGUAAAGCAAAAAAAAACUUGUGAUAAAUCAUGUCAUAUCCAUCGUCAAAAAAGCGGAAGAUAUCAGUCAACGUUUAUCAAAUGAGUGGUUGCUUGUACAACUACUUGCUGAGAGAGAAAGGUGUGGGUUGGACCCCUGCAGACACUAACAGACUAGAGUAGAAGUAUUCUUCACUAACGCAGCUAACUCCAGAUGUUAUGAGCUUCCCCGAAAGUGAUAGCCGGGUGGAGCAUCACUACCGACACUCCUGUGGUGCGAUGUGGUUCAACUCUGACUUGGGCUUCCACCAUGAUAAUGGCUCUGUGCUCAAUAAAUGAUGUGAUAUCCGUUUGA